rnacentral:lncRNA from 1 species
CAUACUUCUCAACCAAGCCCCUGUCUACCUCAUCAUCAUCAUUCGGUCCUCAGUCACUUCAGUACUUUUCACCAUCUGACUCAUCGAGGCUCUUCAUGCUGUAAAGCAGUUCAACUUCUCCAGGAAACAGAGUCAGGCAGAGCUUAGAGUUCCGGAUGUUUAUCAGGGAGUGGUGCUUGAGUCAACACCCGUGCAAAGGACUGGGCUGAGGCAGAAUUGGGAAGAGGGAGAAAUCCAGCUGAGAUGCAAGCCAGACAGUGCCCGCCAACAGCACAGGGUGCUCAGAAACUUGAAACAGAACACAGAGGAGUUGACAAUUCAGCAGUACUGAUCUACUUGUAGCUUACAGACCCUCUGAGUGGUCAUGCUGAUCCAGAUCCAGUGCUUGAGUUGGUCCACCCCAACAACUACUCCAUCUAAGAGCUGCUGGAACCGGUGGAGGAGCUGGUGAUACAAAACCAGAUUCAGGAACAAGUCAUCUACACUGAGGAUUAAAACCUGAAGCGUGG